GAGGGUAGAGCUCAGUGGUAGAGUGCAUGCCUAGUGUGCACAGGUCCUGGGUUCAAUCCCCAGUACCUCCU
rnacentral:tRNA from 1 species